rnacentral:lncRNA from 1 species
AUAGAAUAUGGGAAAAGUAAUCAUUUGGAAAUUUUUUCUCCCUUGUUUACUAGUUCACAGGAUUUGCCAUUAACUUCAUUCUCAAAUCACAAUGUGACACAGUGUGGUAUCUUUUGGGGUGGAGGGUCAAUUCUAAAGUUAGCAUGGAACAGAAAUCGUGUAAAAUAAUACUUAAAUCACCAUAGUACAGCAUGCUUUUGAGUAAACAACACUGAAUAGUAAUAAUUCUGUAAAUGUAUGAUUACAGAUUAGGGGAGUAGGCAUGAUUCAUUUCCGUGCUGCUGUUGCUUUCUUUUUUUUCUCUCAUGAUAUGGAGUUUUAUUUUCUACUGAUGUGGAAUUUAUACCUUUGAUUCAACAUACAGACCCUUUCUUCAGUUGGGUGUUACAGAGUUUUAGCUAGUGUGACAAUUUUUUCCCCCAUUAAAAAGUUUAGAAACAUCUUACCUUGCUACAAAGAAAUCCAAAGUUGUGGUGGCA